GAUGAACGCUGACAGAAUGCUUAACACAUGCAAGUCAACUUGAACUUCGGUUUGGGUGGCGGACGGGUGAGUAACGCGUAAAGAACUUGCCUCACAGCUAGGGACAACAUUUGGAAACGAAUGCUGAUACCUGAUAUUAUGAUUUUAGGGCAUCCUAGAAUUAUGAAAGCUAUAUGCGCUGUGAGAGAGCUUUGCGUCCCAUUAGCUAGUUGGAGAGGUAACGGCUCACCAAGGCGAUGAUGGGUAGCCGGCCUGAGAGGGUGAACGGCCACAAGGGGACUGAGACACGGCCCUUACUCCUACGGGAGGCAGCAGUGGGGAAUAUUGGACAAUGGACCAAGAGUCUGAUCCAGCAAUUCUGUGUGCACGAUGAAGUUUUUCGGAAUGUAAAGUGCUUUCAGUUGGGAAGAAAAAAAUGACGGUACCAACAGAAGAAGUGACGGCUAAAUACGUG
rnacentral:rRNA from 1 species